rnacentral:rRNA from 1 species
CAAGGAAUCUUCCGCAAUGGGGGCAACCCUGACGGAGCAACGCCGCGUGGGGGAUGACGCCCUUCGGGGUGUAAACCCCUUUUCUGCGGGAAGAAGGUGGGGCAACCCACUUGACGGUACCGCAGGAAGAAGGACCGGCUAACUACGUGCCAGCAGCCGCGGUAAUACGUAGGGUCCGAGCGUUGUCCGGAGUUACUGGGCGUAAAGCGCGCGCAGGCGGCGGUGCUGGCCCGGCGUGAAAGCCCCCGGCUCAACCGGGGAGGGUCGUCGGGGACCGCACCGCUUGAGGGCGGUAGGGGCUGGUGGAAUGCCUGGUGUAGUGGUGAAAUGCGUAGAGAUCAGGCGGAACACCCGUGGCGAAGGCGGCCAGCUGGGCCGUCCCUGACGCUGAGGCGCGAAGGCGUGGGGAGCGAACGGG